CACUCUCACAGAAACAUCCAGAGCAAUGUUAGGUCAAGUAUCUGAGCUCCAUAGCCCAGCCAAAUUGACCCAUGGAAGUAACCAUCACAGCCUACAAACAUGCUCACUUUGUUACCUGUCCUCCAACUGAGCCUAGAAGUCACUUGGUUCACUGAGCUGAAUAUGUAAGACAUCAUCUUCUUGGAGGGAUGAAGACAAAGCCUGGGCUAUUCUGGAUAUUUCCUCCUUAUCUCAGGGUGCUGCAUUCACAGUAAAUUCUAACAGCUACCUAACAGGUGGAAGAGGGCAGAGCUGAGUGGGCAGAAGUCAUCUUGGACCUGUUCUGCUGCAAUGUGGGGUGGGAGGCGUUUCUCUGCUUUAGUACUUAUGGUGCCCAAAGUUACUCUGGUUUCACUGAAGAUGGUAACUCAACUUUUAAGAAUAAAUAAUAUCUUCUUCCUGAA